UUAAUUGAAGCCAAAUUAGAGGCAUAUUACUGUUAAUGAUAUCAUUGAAUUAAUUUCCAAUUAAA
rnacentral:tRNA from 1 species